rnacentral:lncRNA from 1 species
UUGUCAUUCAUCUAAAACAACCAAAAUUCUUACAUGCAAAUGCCAUCAAAAGGACUUUUCAAAAGCUUGUAAUGAGGCUGGACUAACAAUAAAAAUAGGUUUUUCUGGAAUGCAAAGUCCUUGAGUUAAGAGAGCUACCAUAGUAUUCAAAAUUUAAGCACAACUUUCUUCCUCACUAAUAUCACUUAUUCCCAACUUCUUCCCUUUUCUUUUACAUUGAGCUCACUUUCAUGUUUUUCUUCUUUUCUUUUCUUUUUUUUUUAUCAUGCAUUUUUCUUUCUCAACAUUUGAGCUCAAUGCUUUACAAUUGCUUUUCAAUUUUCCCCCAUACAACCCCAAACUUAAACCUUUUCAACACAUACAGUUAAGUUCAUC